CCUACGGGAGGCAGCAGUGGGGAAUUUUGGACAAUGGGCGCAAGCCUGAUCCAGCCAUGCCGCGUGCGGGAAGAAGGCCUUCGGGUUGUAAACCGCUUUUGUCAGGGAAGAAAUCCUUUGGGCUAAUACCCUAGGGGGAUGACGGUACCUGAAGAAUAAGCACCGGCUAACUACGUGCCAGCAGCCGCGGUAAUACGUAGGGUGCAAGCGUUAAUCGGAAUUACUGGGCGUAAAGCGUGCGCAGGCGGUGAUGCAAGACAGAUGUGAAAUCCCCGGGCUCAACCUGGGAACUGCAUUUGUGACUGCAUCGCUGGAGUGCGGCAGAGGGGGAUGGAAUUCCGCGUGUAGCAGUGAAAUGCGUAGAUAUGCGGAGGAACACCGAUGGCGAAGGCAAUCCCCUGGGCCUGCACUGACGCUCAUGCACGAAAGCGUGGGGAGCAAACAGGAUUAGAUACCCUGGUAGUCCACGCCCUAAACGAUGUCAACUGGUUGUUGGGAGGGUUUCUUCUCAGUAACGUAGCUAACGCGUGAAGUUGACCGCCUGGGGNGGACGGCGCGAGUAGAAGUAAAGUAAGUAGACGNGNGAGAGNGCGACGACGACGACGAGGGAGGAGG
rnacentral:rRNA from 1 species